GACGAACGCUGGCGGCGUGCUUAACACAUGCAAGUCGAGCGGAGAAUAUAGCAAUAUAUUCUUAGCGGCGGACGGGUGAGUAACGCGUGGGCAACUUGCCUCAUACAGGGGGAUAACACUGGGAAACUAGUGCUAAUACCGCAUAAAAUAGUGAAGUGGCAUCACUUUACUAUCAAAGGAGCAAUCCGGUGUGAGAUGGGCCCGCGUCCGAUUAGCUAGUUGGUGGGGUAAUGGCCCACCAAGGCGACGAUCGGUAGCCGAACUGAGAGGUUGAUCGGCCACAUUGGGACUGAGACACGGCCCAGACUCCUACGGGAGGCAGCAGUGGGGAAUAUUGCGCAAUGGGGGAAACCCUGACGCAGCAACGCCGCGUGAAGGAUGGAGGUUUUCGGAUUGUAAACUUCUUUGAUUGGGGACGAUAAUGACGGUACCCAAAAAACAAGCCACGGCUAACUACGUGCCAGCCGCCGCCGUAAUAC
rnacentral:rRNA from 1 species